rfam:Canis lupus familiaris chromosome 4, whole genome shotgun sequence.
GCCUGAGUGGCUCAGCGGUUGAGCAUCUGCCUUUGGCUCAGGGCGUGAUCGUGGAGUUCUGGGAUCGAUUCCCACAUCAGGCU